GAUGGUAAGAUCUACAGGUUAGAGUGGAGGAACCAGAAGAAUUUUAGAGAUGGGAAUGAUGUAGAAAUUAAAAAACAAGGGAAGAGAAACCUGAGAGGCUUCGCAGGAGAGGAUGGCUCAGAGACCCAAAGCUCUGUGCGAGACGAUCAGAGACAGUCUGGGUGUGAAACCAAUGAAAAGAUUCAGACACGGGGGCAAAGAACCCAGAGCAAGCGCAGAGACACUGCUACAGAAAUCCAGGAUGUUGGGGUCCCGAGAAAUUGCAGAGCUGGGGAUUCUAAACUGCCUCAUCCAUCCAGGAGAGGAGACCGGGUCAGCAGGAAGGAUGCUGUCAGGGCCAGUCCCCCAAAUGGCUCUUCUGGGAGAGUGGGGUUCACAAGCCGGAAGUGCAGCUUGGCUCAGCCGGCCUCUCUCACUUCCGGAUAUGGAACCCCCAGACACAAGCAACCAGUGGCUGGAAAUGGUGUAGACUCUGCUCCUUGUUCUGAAGGACAUCUAAGUAGCCAGGGCACAGCUCCUGCCUGGAAGCACAGACGUAAGGUCAGUGAAAGGACCCAGAGGGUCAAACCUGGAUCUCAAAGACAAGAAAAGGACAAAAGGAUGGAUCCAGAAAAGGCUUCCAGCUCGACCUGCCAGCACCCGUAUCCACAGUCUCCAGCAUCCUCUGUCUUUCCCUCUCUCCUAUGUCCCCAAGUCUCCCAAGCUGCCCCAGCUCUAGCAUGCCUACCAGUUGCACUCACCACCCCUCACAAAUGGCCAGUCCUCAAGAAGAGCAAACAACUGCUCCUGGAAUCCCUCAUGAAGAGGAGGAUUGCACAUCUGAGAUGGGGCCUCCCUCGACGAAUCCUGGAGUCUUACUUGCUUUUUCACUUCUUAGAAUCUUGCUCAUUGCCGCGGGCUGGAGCGAGGCUGCCUGGAUUACGCCCAGACCAGGAACGCCAAAGGCAGCAGGAACGACAUUGUGCGUCCCAGGCAUCCCUGUUAGGCCUUGGGUCUCCAGCCAGCUCUCGAAGCCGUCCAGUUCUUGAAAAAAAAAGCUCUAAACUUUGUACCCAAGUCCAGACUCUUGAGAAGCGUAGACCAACCGAAUCAGAGCCAAUGGGCAGUUCCAUUCCACCUAAGAAACCCAGGAGAAUAAGGCCACCAGGGGGAGCAAGAGAACCACAGAUCCAGGAAGCGGCCACUAAGGCCAAAGUCCCUGCUCCCAGGAAUCUCAGGCCCACAGUAGAGUCUAGGAGCUGGCAUAACCCAGGAGCAGUCCCAGAGCUUUCCAUUGAGAACAGCAGAAGCAGAAGAAUGGC
rnacentral:lncRNA from 1 species